GGGAGAGAAUGCACUAAACAAGCUGGAAAAAUGGUGUUAGAGAGAAAACAAAGGAUGGAAAAAAAAUGUAAGUCACAUGCAGUGUAUCUUUAUAUGACUUUAUUAUAUAAUUCAAAUAGUAAACCUGCCUAUACUUUAUAUAAUUAAUAACAAACUGCACCCCACUAUACUAUAAUAACAAACUGCACCCCACUAUACUAUAAUAACAAACUGCACCCCACUAUACUGUAAUACCAUACUGCACCCCCACUAUACUAUAAUACCAUACUGCACCCCCACUAUACUAUAAUACCAUACUGCACCCCACUACACUAUACCAACAUACUGCACCCCACUAUACAAUAAUACCAUACUGCACCCCCACUAUACUAUAAUAACAAACUGCACCCCACUAUACUAUAAUACCAUACUGCACCCCACUAUACUAUAAUACAAUACUGCACCCCACUAUACUAUAAUACCAUAAUGCACCCCCACUAUACUAUACCAACAUACUGCACCCCACUAUACUAUACCAACAUACUGCACCCCACUACACUAUAAUACCAUACUGCACCCCACUAUACUAUAAUACCAUACUGCACCCCCACUAUACUAUAAUAACAAACUGCACCCCCACUAUACUAUAAUACCAUACUGCACCCCACUAUACUAUAACAACAUACUGCACCCUACUACACUAUAAUAACAAACUGCACCCCACUAUACUAUAAUACCAUACUGCACCCCCACUAUACUAUAAUAACAUACUGCACCCCCACUAUACUAUAAUAACAAACUGCACCCCACUAUACUAUAAUAACAUACUGCACCCCCACUAUACUAUAAUAACAUACUGCACCCCCACUAUACUCUAAUAACAAACUGCACCCCCACUAUACUAUAAUAACAAACUGCACCCCACUAUACUAUAAUACCAUACUGCACCCCCACUAUACUAUAAUAACAAACUGCACCCCACUAUACUAUAAUAACAAACUGCACCCCACUAUACUAUAAUACCAUUCUGCACCCCACUAUACUAUAAUACCAUACUGCACCCCCACUAUACUAUAAUAACAAACUGCACCCCACUAUAUUAUAAUAACAAACUGCACCCCACUAUACUAUAAUAACAAACUGCACCCCACUAUACUAUAAUACUAUUUCAGCACCCCACUAUACUAUAAUGUACCAUUCUGCACCCCACUAUACUACAUAUAUAAUACCAUACUGCACAAAUCUACUAUACUAUAAUAACAAACUGCACCCUACCAUAUUAUAAUAACAAACUGCACCCUCUACUAUACUAUAUAUAAUAACAAACUGCACCCCUACUAUAUUGUUAAUACCAUACUGCACCCCUACUAUACUAUAUAAACAACAAACUGCACCCUACUCAUACUCAUAUACCAAAUAACAUACUGCACCCCACUAUACUAUAAUACCAUACUGCACCUCCUUACUCAUACUAUAAUACCAUACUGCACCCCAUUAUACACAAUACCAUACUGCACCCCACUAUACUAUAAUAAUACCAUACUGCACCCCACUAUACUACUAUAAUACCAUACUGCACCCCACCACCAUACCAACAUACUGCACCCCCACUAUAUACUAUAAUAACAUACUGCACCCCACUAUACUAUAAUACCAUUCUGCACCCCACUAUACUAUAAUACCAUACUGCACCCCCACUAUACUAUAAUAACAUACUGCACCCCAUUAAACUAUAAUAACAAACUGCACCCCACUAUACUAUAAUACCAUACUGCACCCCCAUUAUACUAUAAUAACAAACUGCACCCCACUAUACUAUAAUACCAUACUGCACCCCACUAUACUAUACCAACAUACUGCACCCCGCUAUACUAUAAUACCAUACUGCACCCCACUAUACUAUAAUACCAUACUGCACCCCCACUAUACUAUAAUAACAAACUGCACCCCACUAUACUAUAAUACCAUUCUGCACCCCACUAUACUAUAAUACCAUACUGCACAACCACUAUACUAUAAUAACAAACUGCACCCCACUAUAUUAUAAUAACAAACUGCACCCCACUAUACUAUAAUAACAAACUGCACCCCACUAUACUAUAAUACCAUACUGCACCCCACUCAUACUAUAAAACAAACUGCAACCCCACUACACUAUACCAACAUACUGCACCCCCACUAUACUAUAAUACAUACUGCACCCCACUAUACUAUAAUACCAUACUGCACCCCUCACUAUACUAUACCAUACUGCACCCCCACUAUACUAUAAUACCAUACUGCACCCCCACUAUAAUAUAAUACCAUACUGCACCCCACUACACUAUACCACCAUACUGCACCCCACUAUACUAUAAUACCAUACUGCACCCCACUAUACUAUAAAACAAACUGCACCCCACUACACUAUACCAACAUACUGCACCCCACUAUACUAUAAUAACAAACUGCACCCCACUAUACUAUAAAACAAACUGCACCCCACUAUACUAUACCAACAUACUGCACCCCCUCUAUAAUAUAAUAACAUACUGCACCCCGCUUUAAUAUAAUACCAUACUGCACCCCCACUAUACUAUAAUAACACACUGCACCCCACUAUACUAUAAUACCAUACUGCACCCCCACUAUACUAUAAUAACAAACUGCACCCCCACUAUACUAUAAUAACAAACUGCACCCCACUAUACUAUAAUACCAUUCUGCACCCCACUAUACUAUAAUACCAUACUGCACCCCCACUAUACUAUAAUAACAAACUGCACCCCACUAUACUAUAAUAACAAACUGCACCCCACUAUACUAUAAUACCAUACUGCACCCCACUAUACUAUAAAACAAACUGCACCCCACUUCACUAUACCAACAUACUGCACCCCACUAUACUAUAAUACCAUACUGCACCCCACUAUACUAUAAUACCAUACUGCACCCCACUACACUAUACCAACAUACUGCACCCCACUAUACUAUAAUAACAAACUGCACCCCACUAUACUAUAAAACAAACUGCACCCCACUAUUCUAUACCAACAUACUGCACCCCCUCUAUAAUAUAAUAACAUACUGCACCCCGCUUUAAUAUAAUAACAUACUGCACCCCACUAUACUAUAAUACCAUACUGCACCCCCACUAUACUAUAAUAACACACUGCACCCCACUAUACUAUAAUACCAUACUGCACCCCCACUAUACUAUAAUAACAUACUGCACCCCACUAUACUAUAAUACCAUAAUGCACCCCCACUAUACUAUAAUAACAUACUGCACCCCACUAUACUAUAAAACAAACUGCACCCCACUACACUAUACCAACAUACUGCACCCCACUAUACUAUAAUACCAUACUGUACCCCACUAUACUAUAAAACAAACUGCACCCCACUACACUGUACCAACAUACUGCACCCCACUAUACUAUAAUAACAAACUGCACCCCACUAUACUAUAAUACUAUACUGCACCCCACUAUACUAUAAAACAAACUGCACCCCACUACACUAUACCAACAUACUGCACCCCACUAUACUAUAAUAACAAACUGCACCCCACUAUACUAUAAUACCAUACUGCACCCCACUAUACUAUAAAACAAACUGCACCCACUACACUAUACCAACAUACACCCCACUAUUAUACUAUAAUACCAUACUGCACCAACUAUACUAUAAUAAAUAAACUGCACCUCUACUAUACUAUAAUACCUAUACUGCACCCUCUACUAUUCUACUUAUAAUACUACUGUACCUACUAUACUAUACACAUACUGCACUCUACUAUACUAUACCAAAUAUACAAAUUCUACAGCUAUAAUACCAUACUGCACCCCAAUUAUACUAUACUACCAACAUACUGCACCCCAUUAUACUAUAAUACCAUACUGCACCCCACUAUACUAUAAUACCAUACUGCACCCCACUAUACUAUACCAACAUACUGCACCCCAUUAUACUAUAAUACUAUACUGCACCCCAUUAUACUAUAAUACCAUACUGCACCCCACUAUACUAUAAUACCAUACUGCACCCCACUAUACUAUAAUACCAUACUGCACCCCUAAUUAUACUAUAAUACCAUACUGCACCCCACUAUACUAUAAUAACAUACCACCCCCACUAUACUAUAAUAACAACUGCACCCCACUAUACUAUAAACAUACUGCACCCCACUAUACUAUAAUACAAACUGCACCCCACUAUACUAUAAUACCAUACUGCACCCCCACUAUACUAUAAUAACAUACUGCACCCCACUAUACUAUAAUACCAUUCUGCACCCCACUAUACUAUAAUACCAUUCUGCACCCCCUCUAUAAUAUAAUAACAUAAUGCACCCCGCUAUAAUAUAAUACCAUACUGCACCCCACUAUACUAUAAUACCAUUCUGCACCCCCUCUAUAAUAUAAUAACAUACUGCACCCCGCUAUAAUAUAAUAACAUACUGCACCCCACUAUACUAUAAUAACAUUCUGCACCCCACUGUUUUGUAAAAACAUACUGCACCCCACUGUUCUAUAAUAACAAACUGCACCCCACUAUACUAUAAUAACAUACUGCACCCCACUAUACCAUAAUAACAUACGGCAUCCCACUAUACUAUACCAACAUACUGCACCCCACUAUAGUAUAAUAACAUACUGCACCCCACUAUUUUAUAAUAACAUACUAAACCCCACUAUACUAUAAUAAUGUAAUGCACUCCACUAUACUAUAAUAACAAACUGCACCCCACUAUACUAUAACAACAUACUGCACCCCAUUAUACUAUAAUAACAUACUGCACCCCACUAUUUUAUAAUAACAUACUGCACCCCACUAUACUAUAAUAACACACUGCACCCCCACUAUUCUAUAAUAACCUACUGUACCCAACUAUACUAUAACAACAUACUGCACCCCACUAUACUAUAAUACCAUACUGAACCCCACUAUACUAUAAUAACACACUGCACCUCCACUAUUCUAUAAUAACAUACUGCACCCCACUAUACAAUAAUAACAUACUGCACCCCCACUAUGCUAUAAUAACAUACUGCAUCUCACUAUACUUUUCACAUAAUAACAUACUGCACCCCACUACAAUAUUCAUGUAAUAACAUGCUGCACCCCACUUUACUAUUUAUACAAUAACAUGCUGUACCCCACUACAAUAUUCAUGUAAUAACAUACGGCACCCCACUAUACUAUUCAUAUAAUUACAUACUGCACCCCACUAUACUAUUCAUAUAAUAACAUGCUGCUCCUCCUCUGUACUAUUCAUAUAAUAACAUACUGCACCCCCACUAUUCUUUUCAUAUGUGCAUGUGUGUGUAUCUGUGUGUCUGUGUAUCUGCAAGUGUGUCAUUAUGGGUGACUUCUUAUCUGCAUGUGCGGGUGCCUGUGUAUCUGUUUGUAUUUGUGUGUAUUUUAUUUCUUUUUCCUUAAAGGUAUUUUUAUAUUACGUUUUUUCAGGUUUGUCCUAUUUGAGUAAAUACGGUAAUAACAUGACCACAUCCCCAUAUACUCUUCUUUCAUAACAUUCUGCUCCCCUACUAUACUUUUCAUUUAAUAACAUGCUGCACCCCCACUAUGCUAUUUAUAUAAUAACAUAUUGCACCCCACUAUACUAUUCAUACAAUAACAUACUGCACCCCACUAUGCUAUUCAUAAAAUAAAAUACUGCACUCCCAUUAUACUAUUCAUAUCAUAACAUGUUGCACCCCAUUAUACUAUUCAUACAAUAACAUACUGCUCCCCUCUAUACUAUUCAUAAAAAACAUACAGCACCCCACUAUACUAUUCAUAAUAUAAAAUACUGCACCCCCAUUAUACUAUUCAUAUCAUUACACGUUGCACCCCACUAUACUAUUCAUAUAACAUACUGCACCCCGUAGACUAUUCAUGUAAUAACAUACUGCACCCCACUACAAUAUUCAUGUAAUAACAUAUUGCACCCCCACUAUUCUAUUCAUAUAAUAACAUGUUGAACCCACUUUACUAUUCAUAUAACAUGACUGCACCUCCACUAUACUAUUCAUAUAAUAACACGCUGCACCUCUAUACUAUUUAUACAAUAAUAUGACUGCACUCCGCUGUACUAUUCAUAUAAUAACAUAUUGCAUCCCACUAUACUAUUCAUGUAAUAACAUGCUGCUACCCACUAUACUAUACAUAUAAAAACAUGACUGCAACCCCACUAUACUAUUCAUGUACCUUUCAACCUAUCAUCCCUGCCCCUCCCCUUUCCUUUACUUCCUUUGAAGUUCACACUGUCCGCCUUUUUAAGCCCACUCGUUUAAGAAUUGCCAUCAUCUAUCACCCCCCACCCCACUUUCUCUCCUCUUGCACUCCCUCGCUCAUACAUGGGGACCUUAACAUCCCAAUCAACAACCUCAACUGCCCUGAUGCCUCCCGUCUGCUCUCUGUAACCUCUUCCUUUGGCCUCACGCAGUUGUUUACUUCAGCAACUCAUACAGCAGGAAACACUCUUGGCAUCAUCUUCACCAAUCUCUGUACCACCUCUAAUCUCUGCACUGUUCCAUUUCCUUUGUCUGACCACCAUCUGCUAACAUUUGACAUCAGCAUACCCCAUACCCUGACGAAGGUGCAUUACACAAAGCACCGAAACACGCGUCGGGUGUUUUUCCUUUUUACUUUAUUUUGAGUAUGGGCACUGGGUAUUGAUUAGUUGAUUUAAGCACUUUUUAUUUCCAAUAUGAUUUGCUUAUGUAGCACUUUCUAACUUCUUUUCCACUAUGCCUGUCUAGCUAGAUUACCAGGGAGAGAGGCUUUAUAAAUCCUACUGUCAGUUUAUUUGAAACUGAUUUAUAGACCUAACACUGCCUACUCUCUACUCUCUCUACUUGACAUUAUCUCUCCUCUGGAAUUUUUGUGCUGUAACCCUAAACUGACUAGUGAGGUCAGUUUUCCUACCACCUCUUUUGACAUUUUAGGAUACAGUACCAAGAGGAGAGUCAGUAAUAGAUCAGAGACGGGACUACUACUUGGGAUUGAUCUUUUAAUUUAAGCAAGUUUCCUAUUAAAGCUUAAUUUUAGUGUCUCUAUAUCAUAUCCCUAUACAUGGAUGGUAGCUAUCCCUACCUGAUUCUAUCCUGUAUGCAUAGUGGUAUUAGCUACACUUGUAUAUACUUUAUUUUCCACUUACUUAAUGGUCUCUUUUUUCGUUCUGGGAUAUAUUAGCCAUUGAAUUAAUAUUUAAACCUACUUUGCUAUAUAUUUAUCCAUAUGAUGUACCUGGUCUCCUGACCUUGUUUGCACUGAGACCAGAAGCAUCUGUCUUUUGUUUUUCUCUUUACUAUAUAUAUUGGGGUUAAGCCCCUGGAGACCCCUGGAGUCUCCUUGCGGUACAUAAGACUUGGAGUCAUUACCGGCACUAUUACCCUAGGGUCUAGUGCAUGGGAUUGUACUCCGUGUCUUUUAUUUCUUUUUACCCCAUACCCAAAUUUCACCACCCUCAACUCUCCAAUCUCGCAGAAACCUAAACUUCCUUGAUCUCCAGCAUUUCUCCUCCAAAUUCAAAACUCUCCUUUUACCCAUCUCAAAUCUAACUUGCCCUAACUCUGCUACCUCACUCUACAACUCAACUCUCUCCUCUCAACUCAACAUCAUGGCACCUACUACAAUUAAAUGCAGCAAGCACCCCCAAUUACAACCCUGGCAAACCAAACUGAUCCCUUACCUCCAAAAAUGUUCUAGAACUGCUGAACACUGCUGGAGAAAGUCUCACUUUGCAUCUGACUUCCUCCACUAUAAAUUUAUGCUGCGCUCCUACAGCCUGGCUCUUUCCGCUGCAAAAGUAAAUUACUUUAACACCCUCAUAAGUACACUGUCCCAUCAACCCAAACACCUAUUUCACACUUUUGAUGCUCUUCUUCGCCCUUUUCAUCCCCCUCCUUCUACCACCUUGUCCGCCACAAACUUUGCAUCUCAUUUCACUGAGAUCUCUACAAUCAGAGAAGAGAUCGCUAAUUUCUCUCCUUCCCCUACUAAUACAUCACCCAACCCCACUCCCUCCACCAUUCUACACUUAUUCACACCUGCUACAGCAGAAGUGGUUUCUGUUCUGCUCCGGUCCUCCCGCCCCACCACCUGUUCCUUCAUAUCUCAUCUGCACUUUGUCUCCCUCUCUUGCUCUUCCUCUCAAUAAAAGUUUCAAUCUCUCCCUUUCCUCUGGCACAUAUCUCUCACCCUUCAAACAUGCAACAGUAACCCCAGUUCUGAAAAAAUCCAGCCUUGACCCCAACUCCCCAUCCAACUACCGCCCUAUCUCGCUACUACUAUUUGCUUCCAAGAUCCUCAAGAGAGUUUUUUACACCAGACUGACUGACUUUCUUGAAACCAACUCUCUGCUUGACCCCCCUCAGUCUGGAUUCCGCGCUGGUCAUUCUGUCGAAACGGCUGUGACCAAAGUAUCCAACUAUUUAAUUGCUGUUAAAUCUCGUGGCCAUUAUUCUAUCCUAAUUCUCCUUGAUCUUUCUGCUGCCUUUGACACUGUUCAUCAACAACAGCUUUUUCGCAUUCUCCGUAAUUUUGGUCUACGGGAUACUGCUCUCUCCUGGUGCUCCUCCUACCUCUCCCAGCGCUCUUUCAGUGUUUCAUACUCUGACUCUGCCUCUUCCCUCCAACCACUCUUUGUCGGCGUCCCCCAAGGUUCUGUCCUUGGUCCUCUACUGUUCUCUAUCUACACUGCCUCCCUUGGUAAACUCAUCAGCAAAUUUGGCUUCCGUUAUAAUUUCUAUGUGGAUGACAUGCAAAUCUACCUGUCCUCUCCUGAUAUCUCUCCACCUAUCUUGAUUAGGUCUCUGACUGCAUCUCUUCGAUUUCCAAAUCGAUGGCUGUUCACUUCCUUAACCCCUAUAGAACACAUGACAUGUGUGACAUGUCAUGAUUCCCUUUUAUUCCAGAAGUUUGGUCCUUAAGGGGUUAAACUCAACCUGUCCAGAAAAUAACUUCUGGUCUUUCCUCUCUCAAGUGUUAACACUCUCGUGUCUGUCUCCCUCCUAGUCAAUGGUGCUACCAUCAACUCUACCUCGCAGGCUUGCUGCCUGGGUGUUCUUUUUGACUCCAACCUCUCCUUCACCCCUCAUGUCCAAUCAAUCGCCAAAUCCUGUCGCUUCCAUCUCAAAAACAUAGUGCGCACCCGCCCCUACUUAACCCCGGAUGCGGCUAAGGUGCUGGUCCAUGCUCUUGUUCUCUCUUGCCUGGACUACUGCAAUACUCUUCUCAGUUAUCUUACGUUUUCCCAGAUUGCACCGUUGCAAUCUAUGAUGAAUGCAGCAGCGAGGCUCAUUUUCCUGUCCACUCGCACCUCCCACGCCUCUCCGCUCUGUCAGUCCCUGCAUUGGCUUCCAGUUAGAUAUAGGGCUCAAUUUAAAAUUCUGGUGCUUGCUUACAAGUCCCUACAUAAUGCUGCUCCAACCUACCUAUCCUCCCUAAUACACAAGUAUGUCCCGUCGAGGCCCCUACGCUCUGCCAAAGACCUACGUAUAAGACCUCUGUACGUACUCCCACCUCUAACGCUCACCUCCAAGAUUUUUCCAGGGUUGCACCUCUUCUGUGGAAAUCCCUUCCCUUCUCCGUAAGAUUUUCACCCAGUCUCCACUCAUUCAAAAAAUUAUUGAAAACUCACUUCUAAGUAAAGUGUGUCUGUCUGUGUGUCUAUCAGUGAGUGUGUGUGUCUGUCUGUCUGUGAGUGUGUGUGUCUGUGUGUGUCUGUCAGUGUCUGUGUGUGUGUCUGUCACUGAGUGUGUGUGUCUGUCAGUGAGUGAGUGUGUUUGUCAGUGAGUGUGUAUGUGUUGGUCAGUAUUUCAUUGGCUGCGACUGGACAGUGGAGUACCUGGAGGUGCAUGGAGGCACGCAACGCCACGUCACAUUCUGACGUGACAGACAUCGUCAUGCUCCACCUUGACAGGACUUCAAAACGUAGCAGGAGUAUCAGAUUAGGCACAGGGUGCGGACAGCGCCAUUUGGCUAGAGGGGAAUGCUGGGAUUUAGUAGAAAGGGAGGACCGGGAUUUAUUAGAGGUGAGUGCUGUGGUUUAGUAGAUGGGGAGACUGAGAUUUAGUAGAGGGGGGUGCUGUGGUUUAAUAAUGGGGGAUGUUGUGUUUUUUUUAUACUGUAUUUUUCAAAAUAAACCUACGUUUCUAUGAAAAAAGUUUUUUUUUGCGGCCCACAUAAACUUAACGUACUGCACCCCUCUGUACUAUUCAUAUAAUAACAAACUGCACCCCACUAUACUAUUCAUAUAAUAACAUACUGCACCCCUUGAUACUAUUCAUAUAAUAACAUACUGCACCCCACUACAAUAUUCAUAUAAUAACAUACUGCACCCCAUUAUACUAUUUAUAUAAUAACAUACUGCACCCCACUACAAUAUUCAUAUAAUAACAUACUGCACCCCAUUAUACUAUUUAUAUAAUAACAUACAUCACCCCUCGAUACUAUUCAUAUAAUAACAUACUGCACCCCACUACAAUAUUCAUAUAACAUACUGCACCCCAUUAUACUAUUUAUAUAAUAACAUACAGCACCCCUCGAUACUAUUCAUAUAAUAACAUACUGCACCCCACUACAAUAUUCAUAUAAUAACAUACUGCACCCCAUUAUACUAUUUAUAUAAUAACAUACAACACCCACUAUAUUAUUCAUAUAAUAUGACUGCACCCCAUUAUACUAUUCAUAUAAUAACAUACUGCACCCCCACUAUACUAUCCAUAUAAUAACAUGCUGCACCCCAUUAUACUAUUUAUAUAAUAACAUACUGCACCCCACUACAAUAUUCAUAUAAUAACAUACUGCACCCCACUACAAUAUUCAUAUAAUAACAUACUGCACCCCAUUAUACUAUUUAUAUAAUAACAUACAGCACCCCUCGAUACUAUUCAUAUAAUAACAUACUGCACCCCACUACAAUAUUCAUAUAAUAACAUACUGCACCCCACUACAAUAUUCAUAUAAUAACAUACUGCACCCCACUACAAUAUUCAUAUAAUAACAUACUGCACCCCAUUAUACUAUUCAUAUAAUAACAUACAGCACCCCAUUAUACUAUUCAUAUAAUAACAUGCUGCACCCCAUUAUACUAUUUAUAUAAUAACAUACAGCACCCCUCGAUACUAUUCAUAUAAUAACAUACUGCACCCCACUACAAUAUUCAUAUAAUAACAUACUGCACCCCACUACAAUAUUCAUAUAAUAACAUACUGCACCCCAUUAUACUAUUCAUAUAAUAACAUACAGCACCCCAUUAUACUAUUCAUAUAAUAACAUACAGCACCCCCACUAUACUAUCCAUAUAAUAACAUGCUGCACCCCAUUAUACUAUCCAUAUAAUAACAUACAGCACCCCUCGAUACUAUUCAUAUAAUAACAUACAGCACCCACUAUAUUAUUCAUAUAAUAUGACUGCACCCCAUUAUACUAUUCAUAUAAUAACAUAGAGCACCCCCACUAUACUAUCCAUAUAAUAACAUGCUGCACCCCAUUACACUAUAUGACGUUAAACUAAAAGAUGUCUGUCACUGGAGUAAAACAUCAAAUAACAAUAAUAUACUGUUUUGUACGUAUUACCUCUGCUUACUUAAUUCUUUAUCCCUUUCUCUCUCUCUCUGUUCUGCAAACAUCUAUAAAGUUAACAACACGUCUACAUUAAUAAACAUACAUAGAUCACACGUUUACUAAUCUCCCUUGUUUGUUCCCCCUAAACAUUUAUAUCCUAACACAAUUAAAGAUUAAUUUAGGGAUUUAUUAAUUUGCCUUUCUUCUGAUUAUCAAUGAUCUAUACUAAUAAACAAUAUAACAGCACCACCUACUGUCAG